rnacentral:rRNA from 1 species
CUACGGGAGGCUGCAGUCAAGAACAUUGGACAAUGGACGAAAGUCUGAUCCAGCGACGCCGCGUGCAGGAAGACGGCCUUCGGGUUGUAAACUGCUUUUGCGUGGGAAGAACUUUGACGGUACCACGCGAAUAAGAGGUUGCUAAACUCGUGCCAGCAGCAGCGGUAAUACGAGUACCUCGAGCGUUAUCCGAAGUUAUUGGGCGUAAAGGGCAGGUAGCCGGUUGGUAGAGUCUGGCGUUAAAUCUCAUGGCCCAACCAUGAAAUCGCGCCAGAAACGUAUCAGCUAGAGCGAGUCAGAGGCAUGCGGAACGUGCGGUGUAGGGGUGGAAUCCGUUGAUAUCGCACGGAACACCAAAAGCGAAGGCAGUAUGCUGGGGCUCUGCUGACGGUGAGCUGCGAAAGCGUGGGUUUGGAAAAGGAUUAGAUACCCUCGUAGUC